GACGGUUGAUGAAAAUGAAGAUGAUGAAGAUAACGGUUGAUUUGGUAUAAAGCUUGUUGCACUGGUACACCCAGGUUAGGGGAGUGUUGGUGCGCCCUUAAAAAAGUUUAAACCCGGCCACAUUCUGUAUGUGUCAGUUUCAAGUCACGAGAUGGUAAUGCAGUGUUUGUCGUUUGUUUCUAUUUGUUUCUUAUUCAUUUUGUACAUUAAUCGGGCCGUUAGAUUUUUCGUUUGUUUUACAUUAUUUAUUUCGGGAAUUGAAGACUAUGCAGUAUGAAUUUUACUCAUUGUUGAAGCCCGUACGGGACCUAUAAUUGUAAGUUAAUUUAUGUCUCAUUUGCAAUCAUAUCACAUCUUCUUUUUUUUAUAUGGAAUACUUUUGAAGUUUGUGGUACGUUGCA
rnacentral:lncRNA from 1 species